CACUCACCAUCGGAUGCAGUUGAGAACGAAGUAAAAGUCUCUUCACCAAAACCAUAAUAAUUUCCAGCAGCUACAGAUAUUUCAUAUGUAGUAUACGGAGUGAGAUUAUUUAUUUCAUAUUCAUUUACUCUUCCUGUGGUAAUGUUUACGAUUAGAAUGUUUUCUUUCUUCAACUCAAUCCAAAAGCCUGAUAUAUAUACAUAUAUCCCAUGAUAUUUAGGAUCUGCCCAAGAUAUUUCAGCACUUCUAGACGUGAUGUUAGUGACGGUGAGGUUUAUAGGUUUGUCUGGUAGUACAG